AUGAGGGAGGGCGGUAUCACGAUACAUUACAAUAUCUGUCAACGCCUGCUACUGUCUGCAGUUGAGUAAGGAAUGCGACGUUUGAUGACAUCACGUCGAAAUGCAUGAGUCAGCAGCAGCAGCAGAAACCAAAAGAACGGGCAAGUUCGACAUGAAUUGACAACAUUCAGACAUCAAGUGCUGCACCAAACCACUUGGGAGCUUUUGACUUUCAGGAGUCCGCAGCUGAAACAAAAGAAAAACGGAGACGUUUUUAAACAGUCACACCUAUGUACUGGGUAAGGUAUGCGUGUGUGCGCGUGUGUGUGUGUGUGUGUGUUGGGGCGCUUGGUGCCUACAAACACUCCAUCGAUCAAAAGGAUUGUGAGCAGCUGCAUCUGAACAUGAUCGCAGACCUUAAUGCACGCAAAAGUUAAAAAAGUGUUAAGCUUAAAAGUGAAAUACAACUGAGCUGUACUUAAUUUAAGCCACUGUAACAUUACUUUAUGCAGUUUGAUCAUUUAAUUCCGUGAUUCUUUCAUAUGCCACUAGAUGGGGUAUCAUGUGGUUUUGAGGUUCAGGCUGGACCAUGUCAAAGCUUGCUGUCACCUCCCUUUGCCAAGCCCUCUGUCUGUCUGUCUACAUGUGUGUGUGGGGUGGUCGAGUGAGGGAGCACCCCCACCUCCUCCGCCCCUUCUUCAGCAUCAGACCACACAACUCAGCCCCAAGAGCUGUCAAACACAGCUGGGACGUAUCCUCCUUCCCACUCUCCCUCCCUCCCCAGACUCCAGGAAGAAGCUUUGAUAGAAGGGGGGGCAACAGAGGGGGGGGGGGGGGGGUCCAUUUUUACACAAGACCAUGCUCCUCCUCUCAAACUGCUUCUCAUCAGCAUAAAAGCUUUCGUCUCUCAUCGUGGAUGCUUCACAUGCGCAAAAAUUGAAACGGACAUAACAGGAGGGGAGACACUCAUCCGGAAUGAAGGCUUUAUUUUCGUCUUUUUUAAAAUGCAACACCAGCAAAAAGAAAAGGAAAAAAAACUAAAUAAAAUUCUCCGAACCACAGCCAGAUAAUUUUUCUGUAUUUUAACAUGUAAUGUAUUAUCAAAUAGGCGGCUCGGUGGUGCACUUGGGUAGCACGUCCGCCUCGCGGUUAGGAGCGUGCGGGUUCGAUUCCACCUCCGGCCCUCCCUGUGUGGAGUUUGCAUGUCCUCCCCGGGCCCGCGUGGGUUUUCUCCGGGCACUCCGGUUUCCUCCCACAUCCCAAAAACAUGCUUGGUAGGCCGAUUGAAGACUCCAAAUUGUCCCUAGGUGUGAGUGCGAGUGCAAAUGGUCGUUUGUCUCCGUGUCGUUGGCUGGCAACCGGUUCAGGGUGUCCCCCGCCUACUGCCCGAUGACGGCUGGAAUAGGCUCCAGCAAGCCCGCGACCCCCGUGGGGACUAAGCGGUACAGAAAAUGGAUGGAUGGAUGUAUUAUUGAAUCAUGAUCACUUCUGAUACAGAAUCAAGUAUCGAUAUUGAGACGUCCCAAUAUCAGUGAUACCAGCUGUUUUUUUUUUCCAAAGGCAAACAGGAAAGAUAUGUCCUCAUAAAAUGUAGUUACAUUUAUAAAAUGCAAAUAGUCCAAAUAUGAUACAAAUAUUAUUAAAGUUGUAGUUUUUACAUAACUACAAUAUUACGCAUACGUUACUCGAAAGUUAAAACUACUUCAAUCAUUGCGCAAUAAAGUUUGGCACAUUUCACAGUAGAUGGCAAUAAAUAACCUUUUCCAAAAAUAGCCAAACAUCAUUUCAACUUCCUCUCCCGUAACUUGCUAUCAUCGGCAGCCAUUUUGUCAGUGUUAACGACGCCCCACACUAACCGACUCCCCCCACAAGAUUAAAAGGACCAACACUCACUCACUGCACCCCCCCUGGAAAAACACUUAGUGACGAGCCCAAAAUAACGGUGAGGACAGAUAAGACUUCAUUACGAGUUCAAAACGCACGUUUUUGAAAUGUGGGGGGUAACCAGAGUACCUGGAGGAAACCCACGCAUGCACGGGAAGAGCACGCAAACUUCACAGAGGAAUCGGACCCGCUCCACAGAACUGAGAGGCGGACGUUGUAACCAGUGCGACACUGUGCCACCAGUCAAAAAUAUUAUGACAGGAAAUGAAUUGGUCAUCACAAAACAAAAUCAUUAUUUUUACCAAAAUAAACCAAUUGGUGGAUCAUUUUAGGGGAAAAGGCACAAUUUUACAAGAGAAGUUCAUUUUCUGAGUUUAAAUCAAAAUUUAUGAAAAAAAAAAUUAAAGGCAGAUUUUUUCAGACAUUUGUUAUACUAAUAUCUGUUGUACUAAUAUCUGUUUUAGUAUACACAACGGACGUUGAGCCAAAAAUUUUAAAAACAUUUUUUAAAAACAACUUUUAAAAAAAAAUAAGAAAUCCCUUAAUGCAAUUUUUAUUAAAACAGCAAACGAAUAAAAAGACA